rnacentral:rRNA from 1 species
AAUUUCAGAUAGAAUGCUUGAUUUAUAGUUUUAGGCGUUUAAAAACGAAAUGUUUGGUUUAAUAAUAGAGAGAAAUCAAAAUUCCUUAAGAGAAAACUUUUAUCUCAAAAAGUAAGUUUUAAAUUUUGUUUAAUAUAAAACUUUCCGCAGAAUGCUACGAUUAGUUUUAAAUUUUAGCGAAUUGAUACAUCUAAAUAGCUUCUUAAAAAAUCAAAAGAGAGUUUGAGAGUAACGGUGAGUGAAAUCAAAAAAAUUUAGUUAAAUUAUGGGUUUAAACCUAAUUAAAUUUUGUUUGUGAAUAAUGUUUCAUUGUUUUUAUAGAAAAUAUCGUUUUCUAACUUUUAAGCUGUAAAAUCGAUAGUGUAUUAGUAUUGAGAAGGAAAGCACUUCGAAUUAAAAUAAGGAAAGAAGUCAUAAUAAAUUUGAAAUUUUUGUUAUUCUAUCGUUUAAAACUUUUUACUUUUUGCAUAACGGUUUCAUUAUUUAAAAGAAAAAGGUAAGCUUUAAAAAAACUUAAAAGCUAAUAAUUUUAAAUUUUUAAAACAUUUUUAUAAUCUUUUCUUUUAAACACGAAGCCAAGCGAUCUAUUCAAGCGCUAGCUGAAAUUGAUUUAAACAUCAAUGGAAGGCUUAACUCGUGUCUGUUGCAAUAGGCUGGGAUGACGUUUGAAUAGGAGUGAAAGGCUAAUCAAGCUUGGUUAUAGCUUGAACUCCGCGAAAGUUAUUUUAGUAACGCCGCCAUAUAUAAAAAUGAGGUAAAGCACUGAUUUCGUUUUGGGUGAUUUAAUACUCUUUCAAGCGUUCUUAAACUUUGAAUACAUGUAAUAAUAGUUAAUUGGUGAGUCAGACUUUGAGCUAUAAAGUUCAAAGUCAAGAGAGAAACAACUCAGAUCGUUUGAUAAGAUAUCUAAAUAUAAUUUUAAUAGCAUGAAAGUUUUUUAGCUUCGAAAAUUCUUUAAUAGAAUUUAUUAUAAAAAUAAGCUUUUCAGCAAAUAUUAUGUUACAGUUGGCUUAGAAACAGCCAUCGAUUAAUGAAAACGUAAUAGUUCAAAUAAUUAGCUCAAAAAUUCUUAAAAUUUAAGAUUUUAAGUUCGUCGAAGCAGCGAGUUUUGGUAGUGGAGCAUUUUGUAAAAAAAAAUAGCUGUGAAGCAAAAUCAAAAAAGCUACUGUGAAAAUUAGUAACAUUUAAAAUUGUUAAUAAUUCGUUUUUAAUCUAAGCUUUUUUAUUUCUGUUUUGAGUUUAUUCGAACCUUAAGUUUAAAAUGAAAGUUUUUGGCGAUAGGUAUAAAUAACCGCGAGAUUAAUCUGAAAAAAAUAUCGAAGGAAAAUACUUUAAAAAAAAAAACCGUGUAAAAUUGAGUUUUUCUGCUCUUAUAACGUCAUUUUUUUUUCAGGAAAAAGUAAGGUUUAUUAAUUCGUAGCUUAUAACCGCAACAGGUAGAUUAAUAAAAAAUAUUAAAACGUAAAGAAUAAUAAAAGAUAAGGAACUCGGCAAAUAAUCUCCGUAACUUUGGAAAAAGGAGAUCUGAUUUAAUAGAUACUAUUAAUCAUUAAUGAUAAUUCAAUGAGCGACUUUUUAAUAAAAAAUUAAAAUAACGCAAAUUUUAUAAAAAAAGUAUGUUAUUUGAUUGGUUCUCAAUGCUUUAAACUGAAAAAAGAGGUCAGACGCUUUUUAAUAAGGAAAAGCAAAUAGAUGUCUUAUUUUGAGGAUAAUAAUGUAGCGAAAUUCCUUGACUUUUAAUUGAAGUCCUGCAUGAAGCCAUUAACGACUCAUUGACUCUCUUGUCUUUUAUUCUUGUGAAUUUGAAAUGAAGGUGAAGAUUCCUUCUUCUUAAAGUAAGACGAAAAGACCCUAUCAAUCUUUACUCAACGCUGGCGUUGCUUUUUUAAAUUUAUUCGUUUAGUAGUAGAUAGCUGUUUUUGCUUGUAACUUUUUGAAAAACUAUCCUAUAUUUUAUUAAAGCUAUUUUAUUAUUAUUUAAAACAGCGCUUGCGGGUGAGUUUAUCUGGGAUAGAUCCCUUUUAAAAAGUAAUAAAGGAAUACAAAGAUAACCUUAAUUAAGAUAUCUUAAUUUUGAGCGAAAAAGUAAAUGUUUGUUUGACUGUAAGGCAUAAAAUUGUUUGAACAGCUAUGUUAAAUAGGUUUUAUUGAUCCGAUAGUGUUGAACGAAAAAGCUAUCGCUUAAUAGAUAAAAGAUACUGUAGGGAUAACAAGAUAAUAAAAACCAAGCGAUCAAAGCGACGUUUUUGAUUGUUAUAUCGAUGUCGGUUUAAAGCAUCCCGAUGGUGAAGAAGCUAUCAAGGGUUUAGCUGUUCGCUAACUAAGGCUUUCCAUGAACUGGGUUUAAAACGAUGCGAAUCAGUUUAGUUUCUAUCUGCUUGAUUAUUUAAGGUUUAAAGUUUUUUUCGCUAGUAUGAGAAGAUCGAUGAAAAGAAAGCCAAUAGUUAAAAACCUUUUUUUGGUUGUAUUGCCAUGCUUUUAUUGUUUAAAAAUUGAAAGCAUUAACUUUUGAAACAUUGCUUAAAUAACCUUAAAAUAGGUUUAAAACGAAAACUUUGAUCGGUCAAUAAUAAAGUUUUUUAUAAAAAGAAAAAAAAUAAUUGAUAACGAAUUUGCUGCUCAAAACUUUUUAGUUUAAAGGUACAAACUAA